rnacentral:lncRNA from 1 species
UGCUAUAUUUGAAAUUACAUUAGAUUGCAAGAACAAAGAUGCCCUUUUGAUGCUCUGUAGCAGCACUGGAGAUAAUGAAAGGAGAGGAAUCUCGAUAAGGAUGAAAGAUAGCUUCCUUCAGCCUCCCCUCGCUGAUAAAGUGCUUCCCAGAUGAAGAGAAUUUAGAAUAAAAAGCAGCACAAAAGUAAAACAAAGUAAACACAGCCCGGCGUUGCUCUAACAAGAUAAAAUUACACCGUGGAGAGGAGACCAACAGGACAAUAAAGAGAAGCGUUCAGGGGAACGGGGAGAAGGACAGCACGAAUUCGAGACAGGGGAGCAGAGAUCCCCAGAGCAACUACGAGGGGAAGAGCAGCUGGGAGAGAUGUGGAAGGUGUGAAGUUUGGGUACCCACAUCCCUCAAUGCCCCUUUUGCUGAAAAGGGGAGCUCCAGGAGGCAGCAAUGCUGCGAUCACCUCCUUCAUAGGAAGGGAAAGGUGCUGAUUUUCUACGGCUGCUGCCAUUAAUUGGGUUUUAACGUGAUGCAGCUGCUGGCAGGGGCAUAAAGGGGGCUGCAGAGGGCUGGAGCAGGCAGCUGGGUCUUGCAGAAGGCUGUGGGCAGGCUCUGAGCCCUGUGCCAAUGGGUCAGCCACCCCAUGGGGUCUGGGCACGAUGCAGGAUCUGCCCCUGUGCAUCCCCACCUUUCCCCUAAAGCACAGGUUUGAUGCAGGGUUUUGGGGUGCACACCCAGCUGAGGCCUCGUGCUGGCUCUUUGCUGUGCUUUGAGGCUCAAUGUUGAUUUUUGGCCCCUUGGUGCCCUUUUUGGGCCCCAGCUGCUCUCAGCCAUCGCCGGCUGCGAUCGGUGCGGCACUCAGCUCCCUCGGCUUCGAAGGACGCAGCGUGUGGUCCGCUCCGCCGCUGCCAUGGCAACGCUGGGAUGCAAAACCAUGGUUUAAAACCCAAAACAAAUAAAUCCUCCACACCACAAAGCCCAAAGCAUCCUUCUCGCCUUGCUUUCCCCGGCCCAUUUUGUUUUCCCCUCUUGGGACCCGACGAGGAGCUGGUGCUGCCAGGCAAUGACUGCGGUGUCCUGGGUUCCUCGUGUGCCCGUCUCCCGAGGCCAUGUCUUGGGCAGACACUGCUGGACAGGUGUGCUGAUUUCCUCCUGGAUUUAACGAAGGGAAGAUGAGCAGGACCCAGAUAACUGACCUGGUUUAAAGCACUUGGCGGAUUUUAACAACAAAAAAAAAAAGGAGUCCCUCUGGAUUUGAGAAACUUCAGCUGAAGUUUUACCACUUGCAGCAAAUUUGAACCUCACCAGGUAACUUCAUUUGGUUCCCUUAAUGAAGGCUGCACAGCAGGGUUAAUUCUGCUUUCUAUGUAAAAAGAUUAAGUAGUAGUUGGGUAAAACACUUCAUCACUGAAGUGAUUUUCAGGAUGUACUCACUCCGAAGGCACAGAUGUAAUACCUGCUUUUAAAUUCAAUUAGCUCUGACUCAGUUGUGUUGCCUGAAUACAUUACCACAGCUUGAGACAGUCAGUGUUAUUCUUUAAAGCUGGAAAAAAAAAAAAAAAAAGGAAGAAAAAAAAAAAACUAUUUGGAGAUUUCCCUAAAUGUGUUUUAAUUCCCUCAAUAUGUCAUGUGCCUUAACAGCUCCUGCCACUCGCAGCUGGGGUUUCCCCUUCCCUGCCACCACGCAGGCAUGGGGGGCUCAGGUAGGCUGAUGGGGGCUGGAUGCUGCUAUGUCCAUGCCCCUAUUUCACAGCUUUUUUCCUCUUUUUUUGACACCCUCAUUACUUGAAAUCUUUGGCUUUUGGGGGUUUUCCUUCCAAGGCUGCCUCUGACCUGCCACAUGCCCCCAGGCAUCCCCCCCACCUCUUCAACUACCUGUUUAUUAAAUUUUCAUACGACAUCAGAGGGAGAGGCUAUUUGGAAGCUAAAUUAAUUAAUGCUUGUAAAGCAUUUUGAGAUCCAAGGAUGAAAGGCGCAAUAGAAAUGCAAUUUAUUUUAUAAUUAUUGAAACAACCCCGCAAAACAACGAGGCUCUGGAUGGCAUAGGAUGGUUUAUUUUAAUUAAAUCUGGGGCUGUGGUGUUAUGUUUCCACGCCACGCUGGGCAGGAACCUCCUGGAGAUGCCAUCCGCAGGGCUCUUCCCAGUAUGGGUGGCUGAUGCUGGUGCUUGGGGCUG